GAACGCUAGCGGCAGGCUUAACACAUGCAAGUCGAGGGGCAGCAUGACACGGAGAUUCGUCGAAGUGUUGAUGGCGACCGGCGCAAGGGUGCGUAACGCGUGAGCAACUUGCCCGUUUUCUGGGGGAAUAACCGGUGGAAACGCCGACUAAUACCCCCAUAGCAUCACUUUAAGGCAUCUUUUAGUGAUUAAAGAAUUUCGGAUAAGGAUAGGCUCGCGUGACAUUAGCUAGAUGGCGGGGUAACGGCCCACCAUGGCGACGAUGUCUAGGGGUUCUGAGAGGAAGGUCCCCCACACUGGAACUGAGACACGGUCCAGACUCCUACGGGAGGCAGCAGUGAGGAAUAUUGGUCAAUGGCCGAGAGGCUGAACCAGCCAUGCCGCGUGAAGGUCACGGCCCUAUGGGUCUUAAACUUCUUUUGUAAGGGAGCAAUAAGGUUCACGUGUGGACUGAUGAGAGUACCUUACGAAUAAGCAUCGGCUAAUUCCGUG
rnacentral:rRNA from 1 species